CCUACGGGAGGCAGCAGUGGGGAAUAUUGGUCAAUGGGGGAAAGCCUGAUCCAGCCAAGCCGCGUGAGUGAAGAAGUAACUCGUUAUGUUAAGCCUCUUUUGUAGGGAAGCAAAUGAUGGGACGUGAGGAAGUAGCCACGUCCAACAACGAGCCAGCAGCGCUGGUAACACGCAGGGAGCAAGCGUUAUCCGGAUUUACUGGGCGUUAAGGGAGCGUAGGCGGUUUGACAAGUCUGAAGUGAAAUCCCGCGGCUGAACUGGGGAACUGCUGCAGAAACUGGAGAACUUGAGUGCGGGAGAGGAAAGCGGAAUUCCAGGUGUAGCGGUGAAAUGCGUAGAUAUAAGGAAGAACACCGGUGGCGAAGGCGGCCUGCUGGACCGUAACUGACGUUGAGGCUCGAAAGCGUGGGUAGCGAACAGGAUUAGAUACCCGAGUAGUC
rnacentral:rRNA from 1 species